rnacentral:rRNA from 1 species
UACGUAGGUGGCAAGCGUUGUCCGGAUUUACUGGGCGUAAAGGGCGUGCAGGCGGUUUGUUAAGUGCAGAGUGAAAGCUCCCGGCUCAACUGGGAGAGGUCUUUGCAUACUGGCAAACUCGAGGGAGGCAGAGGAAAGUGGAAUUCCCGGUGUAGUGGUGAUAUGCGUAGAUAUCGGGAGGAACACCUGUGGCGAAGGCGGCUCACUGGUCCGAUACUGACGCUGAGGUGCGAAAGCGUGGGGAGCAAACAGG